GUGUCAGCCGCCGCGGUAAUACGAAGGAUCCAAGCGUUAUCCGGAUUUAUUGGGUUUAAAGGGUGCGUAGGUGGGCUAUUAAGUCAGUGGUGAAAGCUUCCCGCUUAACGGGAAAAUUGCCAUUGAUACUGAUGGUCUUGAGUGCAUUUGAAGUGGGCGGAAUGUGUCGUGUAGUGGUGAAAUACUUAGAUAUGACACAGAACACCGAUUGCGAAGGCAGCUCACUAAACUGUAACUGACACUGAGGCACGAAAGCGUGGGGAUCAAACAGGAUUAGAAACCCGGGUAGUCC
rnacentral:rRNA from 1 species